UGGUGGAGUGAUUUGUCUGGUUAAUUCCGUUAACGAACGAGACCUUAGCCUGCUAAAUAGUUACGAGAAACCUUGGUUUCUUGAUAACUUCUUAGAGGGACUUCGUGGGUUUACCACGAGGAAGUUUGAGGCAAUAACA
rnacentral:rRNA from 1 species